rnacentral:RNase_P_RNA from 1 species
GGAGUCGGCCAGGCAGUCGCGUCAUCCACGUGCACUUCGGUGCAGGCGGGUGCCGAGGAAAGUCCGGGCUCCACAGGGUACGGUGCCAGGUAACGCCUGGGCGGCGCGAGCCGACGGAAAGUGCAACAGAGAGCAGACCGCCGAACGGCGUCGCAAGACGUGCGUGGCAAGGGUGAAACGGUGCGGUAAGAGCGCACCGCGAGUCUGGCAACAGACCGGCACGGCAAACCCCACCGGGAGCAAGACCAAAUAGGGAGACGAUGCCGCGACCCGCGGUGUCU